AAAUCCUGACUCCCAGAACUUCGGAGUCCCCAGAACUCAGUCGGAGUCUGGUUACUCUUACCUUACAACCUGAGCCACAAACUUUGCUUGCUGAUCUUACAAGCGCCGGUUUAGAAAGGAGGUGGCCUGCUAAGGAUGCCUGUGGGCAACAAUUUGGGAAUUUAGCAUUUUCAGAUUCAAGGUGGUAUUACGGAUUCAAGGAGGAAUGGCCCGGGGAGGAGAAGUGAUGGGAAUCAGUCUGACUCUCGGAUAUCUGCCCUCAACGUAGCUCCGAGAGAGCCAGACGGAACUGCAGCACCUCCGGCGAUUUCCCGCGUAAGACGAAAGGCGCGGCUGCAAGCGGACCUCCGCCGCGCUCGCUCACAGCUUGGUGCUUAAGAGUAAUCCACCCAACACGAGGCUUGAACUCAGAACCCGGAGAUCAAGCGUCGCAUGCUCUACCAACUGAGCCAGACAGGUGCCCCGAAAAUUGAAAGUUUUAGAUGAAAUCAGUGCAAAGGAGAAAAGGUGUAAAUGGAGCAGUUGAAUGCUUAUCCCGGACAUCUGUCUGCUGGAAGCCAAAAUACAGUGGAAAUGAUUUGGACAUUUGCCUCGAUUCUCCAUGAUUCCUCCAAGUACCCUGAGACAUCAGAAGCGCUCGAAGCCCCCUGCCACAGCUUGUCAGCUCUCUCACUCUGGUCCAGUUUUCUAUCGUCCGGAGAUGGAGCAAGUCCCUGGGAUGGCCUCCCCCCUCCCAGCGCGGACAGAGGGCCCAGGGUGUUGGGAGGAGGCUUAGCCAACGCUGGGAGAGCAUUGCAAGGAAAGAGUUUGAAUGGCUUAGCUUGAGGGCACAGCGGGGUCUUUGUGGGCCAGCUGCUCUGACCUCUAGCUGCAGAAACAGCCCUGGGGGCCUAGGAGGGGGGCCUCUGGUUAUUCAGCUUGGGGCUUCUUGCAGAAACGAAGCACCAGCGGAAUCAUCUUCAAAUGAAAUGAUGGCCCCUUUCUUUGACCUACUUCACUGUCAAAAACCAGAUGACUGUUCUAAGGAAGAAACGCUACACAUUAAGCCCGUGGAAACUGUUUAAGUGACAAAGCCAAUCAGUCAGACCUCCGGCCACCGGGCUCCUUGACCCGCAGGCCUGGAAUGUAGUUGUUGACUUACACCUCGGAAAUGUACCACUACACUACGCACGACCACAGCCGUGGCGGAUUGCGUGUGCGGGCCCGUUCAGACCAGCAGUAGUAGUGACAGUGGUACCGACCCUCUUCCAGGAACCAGGCGCUGUUCUGAGCACUGUGCACCAACUAACCCUUGGAGGGAAGGUGCUGUUUUCACUCCAGUUCCCACAGACUGGUGAGACGGAGGCGCGGGAGAGAGUGGAAGGGACCUGCCCAAGGUCACCUAUCUUGGGCGGGACAGAGCUGGAUCUAGAACUCAGGCAGCCGGACUCCCCGCACUAGGCUCCAGCUGCCUCCACAAGUAAAUGAGGAAAAGAAAGGAACAGCUGUCGGGUAUCAUUUCUCCCCCAGAUGGUGAAACUGCUUUAGGAACGGUGGGCUCCACUACGAUGGGGUCGCAAACCCGCGCUUUCAUCUCCUGAAUGGGCCGCGUGGAAAGGCAGGAGGAGCAGGGAGGAAAGGGAAGUCGAGGGCACGAAUAACCUAUAGCCUGGGCGCACAGCCCCGAGGGAUGCCACAUGAGCCGACAGCGAAUGGGUGACCCCGAGACCCCAGUGGUGUGACACUGGACCCCAGAACCGAGACUGUGACUACGCCCAUUUCGGGAGGCAGGCCCUGGCUCUGCGGCCCUGGGGCUGUUCUUCCAGGAUCGGGAUUUCGAGAUCCGUUGUGGUAACCGCUGGCAAAUCGCCGUGCCUCAGGCCCCGCCAAUCGACCGGCUCCCAGUAUUGUCUUCCAGUUGCUAGACUACGCUGCUUUCCAGUACAUUAUUUGGGAUACAAAAAACUAAAAUGUAAGUAAAGCAUUUUAAUACAAAUAAUUUCAACCGCAACAAGGCAACUGGCCCCUGAUGAAAUUGGCAAGAAAAGGUAAUGAACUCAUUUCGAUUGACAUAUUUAGAGAUCCUCUUGCCAAAUCCAAUUGGCAGCUUCAUAAUUAUGGAAACAUCCAUGUUAUUUCCACUCAACCAGGGUUAGGCCUGCUGGUAUCUGAUUCAAUGUUUACUUCAUGAAUGAGGUCAGUCCCCAGCACAGCUGGGGUUUUAGCAAAGGAAUCAGAGCUGCUGGUCAGCAGACAGCAUUCCCACUAGCAUCUGCCCAGAGCUAUGGGGGCUCGUGGGGCAACCUCACGGCUCACCCAGGUUAGCCACUCUCUCCGGCUAGUGUCUGGGGCCUGGCUCUUCUCCCUGCUCUGCGAACGACUCCCGAGGUAGCAGUCGGAGCCCGGCGACAGCCUGGGCAUGGGGCGAUCACGUCAGGUUUCCCACAGCCCAGCCGUUUGCUCUAACCUGCCCCCUUCCUAUUGCGACAUCUCACCCCUUGUGAGUUUCAGAACUGCCAGGAAACAGGGUAGGGUUUUUGGUUGGGUGUUUUUUUUUUUUUUAAGUAUUUAUUCCAGGAUGGCUCCAUUUGUGGGGUGUGAGAGUGACUCAGAAUGCCUUGCAAGCCACCUCCAAAGGUACUCUGUCCCACAGGCCCACAUGGCCUCUGGGCCAACUCCCCACACUGGUAAAAACAAAAACAAAAGCUCACAAGGGCUCAAAACACUCAUUUUAGGAACACACGUUGAUGGAGUGAUGUCCCAUAAGUUCACAGAAGUUCCUGGGAACACUGCUGAGGGCAGAAAGGAGAGGCGCCGCUGCCCAGCAGUGACAGGGCUCGGUUCCAGAGGACUUUGGAAGCCACCCGGGCUUCAGGGCCACCAGCCUGUCGGCGCAGGUCCUGCGCUGUUGCGUGGGGCGGCAACAGGGCGUGCGGUCAGUCGGAGUCUAAAGCAGCUCUUUCUCAGCCUGGCAGCGAUGUCUUUAUCUCAGAGGAAGAGGUCCUAGGAGGCUCAGAGAUAGUGAUUUGGUUUGGAUCCCAAAAUAACUCUGGGCACCACGCGCUGGAGCAGUUUUGCCUGACAAAAUCGGGGCAGGGGUGGGGGCACCUGGAGCGAGAGAUGGUUUAGGAACUGGAGACGCAGGCGGAUCUGAUGAAGACCCUCCCUCCUUCUCCACGUUGACAAAGCAGAGGGGGUGCGACGCCGCACAUUCUCACCUCCCAACGGGCCAGUGGCUGGUGAUACGGACAGUUGGACGCCGUGGAGGCUGUGCUGUCCCGGACUGUACAGCGGUGCGCCGUCUCUUCCUCUGACCUCAGGAGAGGUCACUUUAGGAUGAAGACUCCAUGCUCUCUUAUCUCAAGGGUCAGUCCCGCUGCCACAGGUUUCAAAACAUCUCUUCCCCACCUGAGGGUCGGCAGCCCUGUAGGGCUCAAAGAGUCUGAUCCCAUGCGGUUCAGGUCACUGCUCUCCUAGGCUUGCCUCCAGACCCAGGACGGUCCCGUUACUAACCCCAACCCCCAAACCCGUGCUUGCCAUUCACUCUGUAGCCUGUCUUAUCCGUCCUUGUCACUUAAGUGGCCCUCUUAGCAUCUGAAUGACUUUUCUCUCAAAUAUGCUUCUGGCAGAUUUUGAAGAUGGGACCCUAAACAAAGGUCGUUCUUUGUUCUUCGCUCUCUCUGGCUCAUUGUCUACGCACUCUACCACACCGGCUGGAUGCACCAGGCACACAUCCACCUCAGGACCUUGGCACAUGCUGUUCCCUCCACCAGGAGCACAACUUCUGGGUCAUCAACAUGGCUCCCUCCCUCCUUUCCUUGGGGUCUUUACCCACACGCCCGCUCAUCAGUGAGAUCUGCCCGACCACUGUCCUCCAGGCCCCUCCACACGUAAUUUCCCCGCAAGCUGGUAUCCCCAUCUCGGCUCCCACUGCGUGUCUCCUUCCUUAUCUGCCUCACACGCAGCAAGGCCAGCUUCACGCGGGCAGGGAUUUCUGACUCUUGUUGGCCUCUGUCACAGCCCAGUGCCUACAAUCGUGGUCAGCGUAUCCACGCCACAAGAUGUACGGAGUGUCCGCCGCACACCAGUGACGGGGGAAUGCUAAGUGCCUGCGCUGAAGGAAACUGCGUGUCUCCCGAGUCCUGGGCGACACUGGAGGAGCCGGGCCACGGCUUGCCUCCCUCCCUCCUCCUCACCACCUCUCUGAUUCUGUAUAUUCUGCUUUCCCGACAGACACGGGAAAGUGGGGUCCUUCUGGAGGAAAACGGAGCCUUCCGUGAUUUAGGAACACAGGUGUUUGCGGUGCCAGAGGCCAGCGGGUCCUGUGUCCCUCGGAGCUCCUGGGAGGAAGCGCAUCUGAACUGCGGCCACUCUCCCUGGUUGUGAACAGGGCUAUGUCCCGUGGGCGAGGCCGCCCAGGCAGGCAGGCGGCCCUUACGCAGGCUUUCCAGAGAGAGCUGGAAAGCAGAUGCCCGAGCCACAGGAAAAAGGAUGACCGCCUGCAGCCAAGAGCCUGACUGGAAAGUCCGCGUAAAGGACACCUGGAGGAAGCGGGGGCCUCCGUCACCGCCUCCGCCCGCCUGUGACCCUUCUUCCUCCCUCGGCCACCCCCCAGAGGCGCCUUCCCGGAGGCUCCCCGCGCCUUGGCCAUCGCAGAGCUCACCGCUUUCUCCCAACAGAUCAGAACUCCUUGUCUCUCAUCUUGUGUGCAAAGUCUUUUUGUGAGGUUGGGAGGGACCCAAAAGUAGCCUCUCUAUUCCUGUCUGAGGGGAGAGUAUUUCCAGGUCGGGGGCGCGGUCCGCGGACACGAAUACCGGAUUAGGCCUCCUAACCCCAUCUCCGAAGCGGGUGCCAGCCACAGUUCCAGAAUGAACCAGAAGCAGAGGGAGAGAGAGGAAAAAAAAUGUGAAUCAAGAGGUUUAUUAUUUUCUCCCAGUAUUUUGAAACCAAAAUUUCCACAUUUUUAAGGGUUUGAUGUCAUAAAAUUCCCAUGUAUGACUGCAUUUUAAAAAA